rnacentral:rRNA from 1 species
AUUGAGCGCUGGCGGAAUGCUUUACACAUGCAAGUCGAACGGCAGCACGGACUUCGGUCUGGUGGCGAGUGGCGAACGGGUGAGUAAUACAUCGGAACGUGCCCAGUCGUGGGGGAUAACGUAGCGAAAGCUACGCUAAUACCGCAUACGAUCUAAGGAUGAAAGCGGGGGACCGUAAGGCCUCGCGCGAUUGGAGCGGCCGAUGGCAGAUUAGGUAGUUGGUGGGGUAAAGGCUCACCAAGCCGACGAUCUGUAGCUGGUCUGAGAGGACGACCAGCCACACUGGGACUGAGACACGGCCCAGACUCCUACGGGAGGCAGCAGUGGGGAAUUUUGGACAAUGGGCGCAAGCCUGAUCCAGCCAUUCCGCGUGCAGGAUGAAGGCCCUCGGGUUGUAAACUGCUUUUGUACGGAACGAAAAGGCUCUGGUUAAUACCUGGGGCUCAUGACGGUACCGUAAGAAUAAGCACCGGCUAACUACGUGCCAACCGCCGCUGUAA